AUCGUACUUAUUAUUUGAACGCUGUCGUGCCCAAUUACAAACUUGUCUUUGCGGGUGACAUCCUACCGGAAAAAGUCACAAAUAACAUGUUAAGUGUUUCUAUGCGAAGGUUUUCCUCUUAUAUCCCCUUAUGUUUACCCACAAAUGUGUGUGACAUCUAUCUCUAUUUGUACAAGCAAGUCAGUAUACAUGUAAAGAUCCAGGGGACAAUGAUGGAGUCGUAUGAAAGAUCGUUUCUAAGGCCUGUAAAUUUCGUAACAUUCAAGAUUAACAAGCAAACUGUUGUAUAUAAAUUUGAAGAUAUUUUUUUAGCAUUAUGAGUUUUUUCAAAUAGUUUUUGGUUUCCUCUAUAUUACUGCCCAUGAACCAUCAGUUCCAUCCGUCUUCUCUAACGGCUUUCCAUCCCAUACUACUGCUCAGCUCACUGGCUCGCUUUCAAUAUCCGAUGCUUCCAUAUACAAGCAACCUUUUUUCUCAACCAAAUACAUUUCUUGGCUUUCCCCAGCAAAAUGAAAAAGAACACACUGAAGUUUGUCCCCGAUUCCCACGCACGAGUUAGCUGAUGUACACCCAGCCUUAAUUGAACACUUUAAGGCACACUCGAUUUCACUGGAAACUUCAACCCUUUCCAUCACGGAGUACUCCUUAUUCAUUGAAGUAUCUUUGCUUUGCUGGAGGAAGGUGCAUUCGUCAGGUUUCCAUGUAAGUAGCAAAACGGCCAACAAACUGAACUUAAGAAUUGACCCGGCCAUUUUCUCAAUUCUCCAUAAGUAAUGAAUUUUUUUGCCAUGUUCUUUUUUGUGAUUUCCGGUUUUCUCUAUUAGACUCUCUGGUUCAUAGGACACACAGCGCGAAUUUUAUUUGUUUUGGAUUACCAAUAUAUUGUUAUAUCGGCCCUGUAUUCUAUAGCUUGCGUAAUUAUGUACCUAUUAGCCCAUAUCCACUCAAAACAGGGACGUAAAACACCGCAGGGUGCGUGCACUUCUCUUCGACACCCUCCCCCCCUGGAGCUACGUAAGCCGUGUGCUUGAGCUCAAUACUAGGGAAUUUAAGAUACGAGUACGGCGACCGUAGAAAACAAAUUAAUCCGAGAAUUGAAAGGCCGCACGUGAAAAUGCAUUCUGUCUGACAGAUUUCAAUCGUUUCACCCAAACCACGACGUGAAAACUCAAUACGCUCUAGGAGGAAAAGUGGGUCUAGCGAGGACGUGGAUGCUUGGAGUAUAAGCUAGCCUAACUCUGUUCGCUAUUGUAUUUCCAUUGAAACUAGUUUCGAACUUUUCGUCAAAUGCUGAAGUGUUUUUCUCGACCACGCGGUCCUAGCCGUCGUCACCGUUGUCGCAUCUUAAAAUCCCUACAAUUAAAUCCUCCCCCCCCCCCCCCCGUAUACAAUCCGGCAAAUCCUCUAUAAAAGUCCCCACGGAAACUAUCACAGUUCCAAAUGUAAUUGGAAGCCGUAACGUGAAGCCGAAGAAAAGGGGGGUAGGGGGGGGAGCUGUUUUGCCAGGUUAGAACUAACAUGGCACGGCACAGACAGACUGGGUACCAAAUAAAAUUAAGCUGUAUAUUCGGGGUGUUGGCAAUGCGCGUUUUUCAAAAAAGAGAAUGCUCGAAAUAAAUUUUUCUGUCGCUCGGAAACGACCCAUAACUCUUUGCGACUAAAGCAAGCAGGUCACGUGAUAGCUUUACCCACCUUCAUCCCCCAAUAUACUCAUGUAAAAUUUGGAAUAAUGUUUGCUGCUCGACAAAGGUUUAAUCAAACGCGUUAAUCAAAAUGUUCACGACACUGCUUUACAGAUGAUAAAAAGUCAUAAUAUUUGUGAUCACUUGUCCACUAAUCCUAGGAGGACCAUUUUGUCAAAAGUAUUGGAGGGGCUAACGGUGAAAAGACCAAAAUUUUCUCUGUAAUUUUUGAAAACAGGGAAACUGGGAAUUUGUGGACAUGAUUCGUGAAUCGUGUUUCUUUGUCACUGUAAUCAGCACUUGCGUGCAUCGUGCAUCUUUUUUGAGCACUUGAAAUCUUCGAGACGUGAAAGUUGGACUAUAAACUAUACAAAAUAAAAUAAUUGCUUGCAAUUCUAACGUAUUAAAGUCUAUCAAUUCAUUGAUUUCGCGUUCAGCUUAAAAUUAUAGCGGGGCCAGCGCGGCCGCAGGCCGCGCGCGGAGCUCCAUAGGUAUAGAAAUUGGUCAUAAACUAGGCGACUCAAAAUUUGUGGUCAAUGACGUCAUGUCACACGCUGUCAGCUGGCUGUACCACUCACGUGACCAGCUCAUGCGACCAGGCCAGCUAAUUGAUUGAUCGGUCUAAACCAAUGACAGACUGGCUCCGACAGGAACUGGGGGGGGCUUUGAAAAGCCAGGAGGGGGACUAAGCCUAUUCUGACUUUCGACAUCAAACGAUCAGCGGAACACAAGUUGGCAGAGAAAAAUUGACGAAAAAAGUGUUUAAUAGAGAAAAUGCAAAUAAUUAUCCAGUCAAAUGGCCGUAUGAAAAUAAGAAUUAGAAGGAUACAUCUGUCUACGGCUUUGCAGGAACUGCUUUGUUCUUACAAGCUCGGAAUAUCGACUUCUUCACCUGGUGCGAUGGUUGAAAACUUUAUAGUUGAAGGACAAGGCUACAAAACCAGCAGCAUUUAUCAGGGAAUUGGCGAGGCUCUGCACUACUAUUCUCAUUAUGAUGUUACAGAGCAAAAAUCAAAAAAGAAAAGCUUUAUUUAUGAUAGCUAAAAUACGGAAUUGUUCUCCUAAACGAGCGAACACCACAAGGCAAACAACAUGGAAGGUCAAGGUGAACUGUUAAUACCCAAAAGCCAUGAUGUGAGACUGUAUGAAGACAUGGAUGAUGAGCAGCAUAUUUUAACAAAAUAUUUAGCUUUCCUUUCUUCCCUUUAAAAUAUGUUUUUCCUUUUCAAUCAAUCUGCAUUCUUUUUGAUGUUUGGUUAAUAUUGCCCUAAAAUUUUAGCAAUUAAAUAAAACAAAACUGUGACUUCUUUUUCCUUUUUAAAGGGGGAGGGUUGUCCCAAGUGCUAUGCUCUUUUCAUUCUUUUGUGGGAUUCAAGCUACUUAUGAGUAGCAAUAAUUUGAUUCGCUAUUCAGCAUCCUUUGUGCAUUUACGAUAUUAUAAAAUAGAUACAUUCAAGUUUAUUCAGAACCUACAUUUCUGCGUCUUCGCCAUAUCUGCUAUUGGGUAAAAUUGCUGUUUACCAUACCCAUUUACCCAAAGAGACUCCCAUUUAAACAGAAGGGGAUGAUUGAUCUCAACCCUAAGGGAUAACACUUUCAGUGUGGUCAGUAAUUCUUUCCCCCAUAAGGUAGCACAUUAGGUGUGGUCAAGCAAUUUCUUUCUCUAAGCAUUUGAACACUCCCUAAGGAAAAGCAGUAACAUAAUUUCAUACCCUUAAGAUAGGACAAACAACCCCAUCUGACUAUUUUAUAAGAAGCCCUCCCCCUCCACAAUGGAUGCUGUCAAAUGGGAUUUCUCUUUUCUUAUCUAUGCUAACUUUGUCUGGGGUUUUAACUGGGAAGUUAACAUUUAAGAAUGAUAUAACUGUGCUGUUAGACUGAAGUAGGAAAAGGAUAGUGAAUUAUAAUAUUUGUAUUCACAAAGAUUUGUAGUUGCAUCUUCCAGCAAUUUGGUACCUGUACCUGUACUGUGUUUUAAAAAUGGAUGAAAAUUUUCAUAUUAAGUAUUUUUGGGUGCGAAAUGUUGUCUUGAUCUUCAAAGCUGUACUCAACAAAAAAAACUGAGUAAUGCUGUACAUGGCAAGGCACAAAUAUGUUAGAUUUUUUUAUUAUAGAAAUGUAAAAUAGGAAAUAUCUGUUCAGUAUCAGUUGUCUACCAAAUGAAGCUACACAGAGCACUGUUAAUAAAUAAAACUAAAAUAUCAGCAAUA